rnacentral:rRNA from 1 species
UAGGGAAUCUUCCGCAAUGGGCGAAAGCCUGACGGAGCAACGCCGCGUGAGUGAUGAAGGUCUUCGGAUCGUAAAACUCUGUUAUUAGGGAAGAACAAAUGUGUAAGUAACUAUGCACGUCUUGACGGUACCUAAUCUGAAAGCCACGGCUAACUACGUGCCAGCAGCCGCGGUAAUACGUAGGUGGCAAGCGUUAUCCGGAAUUAUUGGGCGUAAAGCGCGCGUAGGCGGUUUUUUAAGUCUGAUGUGAAAGCCCACGGCUCAACCGUGGAGGGUCAUUGGAAACUGGAAAACUUGAGUGCAGAAGAGGAAAGUGGAAUUCCAUGUGUAGCGGUGAAAUGCGCAGAGAUAUGGAGGAACACCAGUGGCGAAGGCGACUUUCUGGUCUGUAACUGACGCUGAUGUGCGAAAGCGUGGGGAUCAAACAGG